rnacentral:lncRNA from 1 species
UUCAGUCAAGGGAUUUGAUUUCAAACGGGCAGGAUAAUUAAGGAAAGGGUUUGAUUCAAAAUCUUUUCCAAAGCAGUAUAGUAAGGGUAAAUACACAUAAACGUAUUUAAGGAAGGAGUCUAGUAGUACACGUGUUUGGGAAAAUAAGGAAAGGCAAUCAAUCUACGGCCAGUAAAAAUCAGAAGUUGAGUUCUAGUAUGAAUGAAUCCAACCAGAAAAGGUGAAGAGAGUUUAAUUUAAAGAAAAUCAGUAACAAUCAAUCAAUCCUUAUUAAAGGAAUUCAGCAUCAAUCACAAGUUGGAAAAAAACCUUUGAAGGGAGAAUUUAUCAUAUAUAAAGCAUAGCGAAAUAUGAGUCAAGAAAGAAAUGUCAUGCUAAUUAGAAAAGAGUCUAGCAUAGAAAAUUUCUAAGUCAUAAGCAAAGAGAUUCAAGUUCAGUUCAUUGAAUCAGAAUGAGUCUAAUAGUCCAGGGUUCUAAAGUAGAACCCUAGUCCAAAUGCCAAAUCAAACUUGCCAAAAACCACCAAAUACUAGGGUUUUCUACUCGAAUCAGAUGUAGAAAUAAGAAGGCCAACAAUUGAAUCAGGAUCAGAGGUCUCUUUCAGAGACUCGUGAUAAACAAACAGAUAUGUUUGAAGGUUUGAAACAACAAAGUAAGAAAGGUGAUUUGAAGCAUAAAGAGCACGUUAUAAGAAAAUCUUGGAACUUAAGCAGAUUCAGAAGAGAAAAGAGGUGAUAUAAACUUAAGAACACAGUAGAUGAAACAUGUUUAGAAAGAAAUCAAAUAAAGUCUAGAAGAAAGCAAAUAAAUUACCAAAAGCUCAGUAGAGAGUACAUUAACGGAACUCAGGGGUAAAAGAACACAUAAGACAAGUAUGCCAUAGAAACCAGUAGAAGAAAAAACGGAGUAUAAUAGAAGAACAUGCAUAAUACGGCAAACACAUAAACACAGGAGAAAAACAUGCGAGUUAGAAAAGGAGAACAUCAGAACAUAGCAUAGACAUAUUCACAUAGAGAAAAGGAGAAAAGGAGUCAGAAAACAUUUUGAAACUUUGCAGAAACCUCAAAUCAAAGAAAAAUGAAUUUCAAAAGAAAAGGUUGGGGAAAACGCUUUAAAACUCCAUUAGAACACAGAUAUAGCAUAGAUCUAAGAAAACAAAUAGAGAAAAACCUCAAGUAGCCUAGAAAUGAGAAGGCUUGGAAGAAAGUUCGGUCUUGAGUUGGGUGAGUCAGAAAUAGGCUCCUAAUGCUUGGACACGCCGGAACAAGGUCGGAGAGGCCAUAGAACCUUGGAUCUGAGAAAAUUUGAAUGGACAUCGCUGAGGUCAGACCUUGAAACUUGAAACACCCAAGGUUUAAGGGUGAAGGGAGGUGAGUAUAGACCGUCUAUGGCCUGAGAAGCCAUAGAUUCCGGUGAGGUUGUGGUUGAAAAUGGGUGAGACAGGCUAGGGCUUCAGGACCCUUCCAGAGAGAGUUUGAGAGAUGAGAGUAUCCAAA